GCUGCUAAGUGAGUCCCACCAGCCGAGCUGGCCCGGGCGCUGUGCCCUUGCUCGGCUCUCCGCCCACCCCGCGCGGGCCGCGGGCUGCGCUGGGUCGCGGCGGGCCCCGCAGGCGGCCAUGGCGGCGGGCGCCGGGGCCAGGCCGGCGCCGCGCUGGGUGAAGGCGCUAGGUGAGCCGCUCAGCGCCGCGCAGCUGCGGCGGCUGGAGGACCACCGCUACAGCGCGAUGGGAGAGUCGCUGUUCGAGCCGCCGCUGCAGCUUUUCUGGACCUGGCUGCUCCAAUGGAUCCCGCUCUGGAUAGCCCCCAACACCAUCACCCUCUUCGGCCUCGCCAUCAACCUGUUCACCACACUAGUGCUCAUCUUCUACUGCCCUACGGUCACGGAGGAGGCACCAUACUGGACAUACCUUUUAUGUGCCGUGGGACUCUUUAUCUACCAGUCACUGGAUGCCAUUGAUGGGAAACAAGCCAGAAGGACAAAUUCCUGCUCUCCUUUAGGGGAACUGUUUGAUCAUGGUUGUGACUCUCUUUCCACAGUAUUUAUGGCCAUCGGUGCUUCAAUUGCUGUUCGUCUAGGAACACAUCCUGACUGGUUGUUUUUCUGCUCUUUCGUUGGGAUGUUCAUGUUUUAUUGUGCUCAUUGGCAGACUUACGUCUCAGGAGUGUUGCGAUUUGGAAGGGUGGAUGUAACUGAGAUCCAGGUAGCUUUAGUGAUUGUCUUUCUGUUAUCUACAUUCGGAGGAGCAAUGAUGUGGGACUAUACGAUACCUAUUCUAGAAAUAAAACUGAAGAUCCUUCCGGUUCUUGGAGUUGUAGGUGGAUUAAUAUUUUCCUGUUCAAAUUAUUUCCAUGUGAUCCUCCAUGGUGGUGUUGGCAAGAAUGGAUCUACUAUUGCGGGCACCAGUGUCUUGUCACCUGGACUCCACAUAGGAUUAAUUAUUAUAUUGGCAAUAAUGAUCUAUAAAAAAUCUGCAACAAAUGUGUUUGAAAAACACCCUUGCCUUUAUACAUUAAUGUUUGGAUGUGUCUUUGCUAAAGUUGCACAAAAAUUGGUGGUAGCUCACAUGACAAAAAGUGAACUAUAUCUUCAAGACACUGUCUUUAUUGGGCCAGGUCUUUUAUUUUUAGACCAAUACUUUAAUAAUUUUAUAGAUGAAUAUGUUGUUCUAUGGAUAGCAAUGGUCAUUACUUCAUUUGAUAUGAUGAUAUACUUUAGUUCUUUGUGCCUGCAAAUUUCAAGACACCUUCAUCUAAAUAUCUUCAAGACUUCAUAUCAACAAGCACCUGAACAGGUUCACAAGCAUAUUGACUAAUAGCCCAAGGAAAAGAGGAGAAGCAGUUAGGGGAGCCUAUGUAUGAAGGAUAUCCCCCUAUGCAGGAGGUUCAAGUUCUUUCUUCAAAGACUCAUCAGAAUAACAUGGAUUGAAGAGACUUUCGAACAUUUGCCAUCUCUUGCUGCUGCUGUUUCAUGAAAGGAGAUAUGAAACAUGUUUAAUUUUUAGUUAAAUGUUAUAAAAUUUUCAGCAAAUAAAACUUUUAAGUGCCUCCAUUAAUACAUAUCUUUGCAAUUUAAAAUAGAACUUACAGUUUCCAUCAUAACUUUUUUUUGCAACAUAGCCAUUUCUUUUUUAAGUUCACUUUGUGUGCCAGUAAAUAGAUUAUCAUUGUUCUUCUCCACAUCCUCCAAACUCUAAAACACAAAAGGUCACUUUAGUUAUAAACUAACUUUUAACCAGAGGUACUAAAUUGUAAAAUCUUCAAAAGUAAAACUAUUUUCAAUAUUCAGAAAGCACUCAUUAUUUAUCCCAACAUUCUAAGUAACUCACAUAGACUAAAUUUCUCAGUAUAAACAAGUAAAAUAUAUCACACGUUAAUCAAAUACAGUUAAAGUACAACAGUAAUAUCGUUGCACAAAACAAUAGUUUAAUGAACUAAGUAAGGUCAAGGUUUUUUUUCUUAAAAAAGAAAAUGGGGAAGGGAACGAAACAAGAUGGGAGAAAUGCAAAUUUGAGGCUAGUUUGGGCAAUGUAGGAUCUUGUCUUAAAAGAAUAAGAAAAUAAAAUCUAAAAAGACUACAAGGUCUAUCAGUAUAUACAAUUUUAAAAAUUUCUAAGUUUCUUCAGACAUCUGGUAUAAUCUACUUAUUGUGAUUAAAAGUGUGACUUAAAUUCACAAAAGCAAAAACAUCUAUAGUAUAAAGUCAAGUUAUAAAAAUUAUUAGAUAUUUUAAAAAAUUUUUAUUACAUUUUCAUUCUCUUAGUGAAUGUAGUGUAGUGUGUAUAUGUGUGAGUUACACAUAUAUAAACCUUUAUAGAGAGAGGACAACUUGUGGAUACUAGGUUCUCUCCUUCUGGCAUAUAGGUCCCAUAGAUUGAACUCUGCCCUAGUAUUUUGCUUUUCAAGACAAAAGUCUCAUCCCAAUACAGGCAAGGCUCACCUCAAACUCCCUAAUCCCAUCUCAAGCUUAGAGGAAUGUGCCAUAACACCUAGCUAAAAAGUUUUAAAACAUUUAGUACUCAUUCACAAAAUACAUUAUAUCCUAUUGCCUAUUAUGUAGAAAAUACUAUUCUGUGGAGAACUAAAAUAAAAAAAAUGAGUGUUUUCUUUUUUUCCAAUCAGAAAAAUAUGUAACAACAUAAUUUUAUAAGAAUGGAAAUGCAACUUCUGUAGCUAUCUAGUGGAAUAUAUGAAUAAUUCCUGUUUAGUUAACAAAAAGUAUACUAUUUCAUUAAUUAAAAGGGAACUUAAAAUAUUCUAGAGGAAUAGUUACCAAAGUAUGGAAAUACGUAAGUCUGUGGAUUCAGAGAAAGCAAUUAUGUAGAUAAUUUGGAGUAAUGUACAUGUAUAGUUUAUAUAACUAAAAAUGUACAAGGGACAACAACUACAGGUACAUUUUCAGGAAGGAGAUGUUUUAUUAAGAUUAUAGGGCAGAGUCAAAGAAUAGACUGAAGAAAAGAGAAAUCAGUUAAAAGAGUUUUAAUAGGACAAAAUGUGAUGAGAAAGUGAAAUAGUACAAGCAAAGAGUGAACAAAUGUACUAAAUUGCAGAAAUUAAAGAAAUGAACCACUGUAGAAGUAUGAAUCCUAGAAUUUGAGAACAAUAUAAAAGAUAAAAAGGAUAUAGAGAGCAGGGCUUUAAUCCCAGCCCUCAAGAGGCAGAAGCAGAGGCAGAGGCAGGCAGAUCUAUAAGUUCAAGGACAGCCUGAUCUACAGAGUAAGUUCCAGGACUGCCAGGACUACACAGAGAAACCUUCUCAAAAAAUAAAUAACGAAAACCCAGAUAUGGAGGAGUUAAAAUUUUACUGAAGUUUCUACCAAAAUAGUAACAUUUAGUGAUAAUAUUAGAAGAAAUCUUUAAGUUCAUCCUCAAGUCCUACCAGUUAAAUUGUUCUUAAGGAACACUAGAGCAAGUUGAUAAGGUCUCUUGGAAAUACUUUAAAAAUUAACUUUUAUGUUCAUAUUUAUGUUUAAAACUACUUACUAUUAGGGAAUGGUUUUCUAGUAUGUGUAUAGGUCAAGAGAUAAUUCUUAAUUUAGAAAGUUUUAAUCCUCCACUGUGUUAAAUUUUGGGAUAACUCCUCUCAUAUAUAAGUUGGUAUAUAUAGUUAUUGUGGUUAUUGGAAUAAUUUUAAAAGCUAAUAUGCUAGACAAGACCUAUAAUACAUUUGAAAAUAAGGGAAUAAUUCCAGUAGAUUCUUCCUAUUGAAAAUACACUAGGAGUAUGUGGAUAAAAGGACUGCAGAAAUAACCUUAAUAUAUACAUAUACAUAUAUACAUACAUUUACAUAUCAUACACACACACACAUAUAUUUAUAUAGAGAGAGUGUCUUACUAUUUUCAGUGAAACAGCACAAUGGCUAAAAAGUAUUAUUUAAUAAAGUAUGGACUUAAUGUAUAAGAACUUUUUAAGGUAAAACUCCUACUUUGCCAUUUCCUGUCUUGAAUAAUCUUCACAGGACCACAGGACAUUGGAAUUUUACAGACAUAUUUAUCACUUUGGUCACAAACAAUACAAAAUAAAAGAAAUUUUAAAAAUUAAAACAUAUUUCCCAUAAAUUUGCAAAAAAUACUUAAAUUAUGGGUUAUAAGAAUAUAUGUUAGGGGCUCAGUGGUUAAGAAUACUUGUUCUUAUAAAGGAUUUAGGUUUGAUUUCCAGCACCUACAUGGCAGGUCCUAACCAUCUGUAAUGUUAAAGGAUCUACUACCCUUUGCUGACUUCUGUGGGCAGUAGGCAUGUACAUGGUAUACAGACAUACAUAUAAAAAACACUCAUAUACAAUAUUAAAAAAGAAUAUGUUAGCUGGAUGUUGACACCAGCACUUGGAAAGAAAAGGUAAAAGAAUCUCUGUGAGUUUGAAGCCAGCCUACUCUACACAGCAAGUUCCAGGCCAGCCAGGCAAUAUAAUGAGCCUUGUUUCAAACAAAAACAAAGGAGAUACACAAUAAAACAAAAACAUGUUACUAUGUAUAACUCACCUUUAUGAACUGCUCAUGUAGCUGUUUGAUUGCUUUCAUUCUCUGGCUCUGAACAAUUCUAGUCUGCUGAAAAAUCUUUUGCUGUUGUCGAAAAAGAUUCUAUAAACAUUAAAAAAUGUAAUAAUGA